UCCAUAGGCUUUUACAGGAACAAACUUGACCGUCACAGCAUGAAUCAUGUGGAAUAUUACAUGUCCAUUUUUUGCACUUGACGCUUCUGUAAAUAGAGAAAAGAGAACGCUACAUAAUUAGAAAUUCUAGCAAUCUAAAGACACCAGGUAUAUAGUAGCUAUACUAUAGCUUUAUUAUGUAUAUACGGUGCCUCUCAAAUGCUAUCGUUUCAAUGAAAUGAUUCUAUAGUUAUUUGAUUCUACCAUUUAUGUUAACAUUGUAGUGCUUCCAAUCCUGCUUUCUACCACUGUUACAGCAGAAGCGGGACUGUCAAAAGACGAACGAAAAUCAUUAUAAAAAGCAAUAAAAUAACAAUAAAUCAACGUUAAAAACCGAAGGAAACAAACAACGAACCAGGAUUACUAUGAAGUGAUGGUAGUGGUGAAUAUUUACCUUGCUUCUGCGACGAGGCGCAUGAAAUGAGUACGCCGAUGUAGAGGAGUGCAAGAGUUCUUCUCAUCGCACAACUAAUGAUAUGAAAUAUAAGAAAGAAGGAAUGCAAUUGAAAACAUGGAAUUGACGUUACUUACUAAACGAUGUGAUUAGCCGUAACCUGGAACAUAGCUGAGAGUCACUGCGGUAUCCGCCCGGAUGAAAUAACUCUCCAAACUCAAACACACGUACACACACAUAUAUAUCCAUAUAUGUAUGUAUGUAUGUAUUUGACUAUGCACGUGUCCCUUAAAUUUUUUCUCUUUUUCACAAAAUGAUGUUGCUCAUUGAACGAGCGUGACAUUCAAAGAACAAUCUUUGUUUCGUGCAUGCUACAACGCAUUUAUAUAUAUAUAUAGCUGUAAGACUUUAUCCAUAAAAUAUAUUUCUAAUUUUGCCAUUGUUCUCUUUAUCCUUUUCUAUCUUUAUACAUACACACGCUAAUACACGACCUAUGUUGUAUUCCCCACUCUUGUUUAUACAACGAAUGGGGCAAAACUAACCGGUAUACAGCACUUACUCGGUAUUACCUGUAUCUUU